rnacentral:lncRNA from 1 species
UGAAAUUGGAAACCUGGUCCCUGUUAAACGAGGUUCUCAAAAUAAUUUCCCAGGGAAGGUAGAACUCCGGCGAUAAAUCGAAAGCCACAGGUCCGACGUUUGACGACGAUGAACAGCGAUUUCCUUUUGCAUCCCCUUCCCCAUUUCAGUAAGCUUUUUUCUUUGGGUUUUCCAAAUUGUUAAAAUACAUUUGUAAUGUAUUAAUCCUUCAAGGUUUGAACGAACAUGUGUGUUAUUUUGAAGAUUAAAUUUUGAUGUACGUUAUUUUGAAGAACAGAGGACUGUUUCUCCCCCAAAUCACGCCCAAAUUGAAACCCUCACAAACGCAAAACGUUCUCCGGCCUCACCAUCUCCGACCACACUUCAGACGACGGUACCAUCGCCACUCAGACAGCACUUCCAUCGUGGGUUUGGAAUGAAGGUUAUUGUCGCUCUGGGGUCACUUCCGUCCAAAUUUCACCGUCAUCCUAGAUCACCAUCACUGAUCGACGACAAAGGUUAUGCUUUAAAAAUUUCCUGGUUUUGCACAAUUCAAAGUUGUUGUUUUUCGUUUUUUAUUUUAUUUUAUUUUUCACUAAAGCUUGUAUAGCCGAUAUUCGUGCGGUUUAUUUCCUCAUCAUGCUCCUUUUUUGGACUAGACUAAGAUAUUAUUGAAAAUUACUAUCACUUGUGCCUCUAUUUAUUUUCCAAUUCGCAAUUUUUUCUUUUCUGUUCAGUUGCUUGGCUACGUUGUGUUAGAAAAUUUUUUAUUCCAUCAGUUUUUCAACAUAUGGUUCAACUUAUAUGAUUAUAAAAAGAUGCAAAUUCUUGAGUUUUUUUUUUCCACUGAAGGUUGUCUGGCAGCAAAUGAAAGUUUUAAUCAUUUUAUUGCAGGAUCACUCUAUGAAAUUUCAGUUCGAAUUAUGCAUGUUAUUCAAUAUUUAGGUGGUUUCGUUAAUUGUUAUAGUGACAAUAAAUUCUGUUGAGCUAACCGUGCAGUUUAUUUCUAUCGUAGAAUGGGCGGAAAGAAUACUUAAAUGUGUCACAGUUGCAGAG